rnacentral:rRNA from 1 species
GACGAACGCUGGCGGCGUGCUUAACACAUGCAAGUCGAACGGAAAGGCCCUGCUUUUGUGGGGUGCUCGAGUGGCGAGCGGGUGAGUAACACGUGAGUAACCUGCCCUUGACUUUGGGAUAACUUCAGGAAACUGGGGCUAAUACCGGAUAGGAGCUCCUGCUGCAUGGUGGGGUUUGGAAAGUUUCGGCGGUUGGGGAUGGACUCGCGGCUUAUCAGCUUGUUGGUGGGGUAGUGGCUUACCAAGGCUUUGACGGGUAGCCGGCCUGAGAGGGUGACCGGCCACAUUGGGACUGAGAUACGGCCCAGACUCCUACGGGAGGCAGCAGUGGGGAAUAUUGCACAAUGGGCGGAAGCCUGAUGCAGCAACGCCGCGUGCGGGAUGACGGCCUUCGGGUUGUAAACCGCUUUCGCCUGUGACGAAGCGUGAGUGACGGUAAUGGGUAAAGAAGCACCGGCUAACUACGUG